rnacentral:misc_RNA from 1 species
GAAAGUAUAUAAUACAUAAAAAAAAGAAAAAAAUAUGUAUAAAUUUAGUUUUCGGCUUGAUACGGUUCUGGUUUGGUUCUUAGUGAAGAACCAGAAUAAAAUCAAAGUAUCAAAAUAAAUUCAGUUCGAUACAGUUCUUAUCGAUUUAGUACGAUUCUUCAGUUUAGUUCGGUUCCUCCAAGAACCAUACACAGUCCUACUGAUAAAUGCUGAAUUGGUAGUCACUUGCAUAAAAAAUGCCAUACAGAUGCCCCUUUGAAUUAAAUAAUGUCAUUUGCUUGUUUAAAUUGUGAACUAAUGUAUGAACCUUAGUAUUUAGGGUGGGUAACAGAAAAGAGUGAAAAUCUGUUUCAGUGUUGUUUGCUAGCAAUUGAAAAAUUCUUUACUGUUUGCUCACCCUCUCAAACAAUGACAUGACAUCAGGCAUGGAGAACAACUUGUGAAAUUUGUUGUAGAAUAGGAAGUUAUUGUAAAUAGGAGUAUAUAAUAUUUGUACCUAUUUUUUUGAGGAAUACAAGUUGAUUUUUUACCCAAAAUAACAAAAUUAAUAUUUGAGAGUUCACUAUGUGUACUAUAAGCUUAUGUUCACUGAUUUUUGCCAGUAAGUUUGAAUAUACCUUCUGUCAAAAUUGCUACCACAUAAUUGCAGCAUAAAAAUAUACUGCAAACGCAUUAUAAUUGUUGUUGUUCAAUAAGUAUCUUUCUGUUGAAUUUAACUUGGGAUUAUGACAUUAUUAACUUGUUCUAACUAGUUUGGGAUUAAGAGUCAGUUGAAUUUAUGGAAUCUUUGGCCUAGAUUAUGAUUUUACAUGUGCAAAUGCAUCUAUAUAUCCUUGUAUUGUUAAUUUCUUGCUUCCUGGACAAGUCUCUGAAGAAGAUUUUUUUUUCAGGCAAUUGAAGAAGCUGAAGAUG